AAUAUUGCGCAAUGGGGGAAACCCUGACGCAGCGACGCCGCGUGAACGAUGAAUGCCUUCGGGUAAUAAAGUUCUGUCCUCAGGGACGAAUAAAUUGACGGUACCCCAGGAGGAAGCCCCGGCUAACUACGUGCCAGCAGCCGCGGUAAUACGUAGGGGGCAAGCGUUGUCCGGAAUUAUUGGGCGUAAAGGGUGCGUAGGCGGCCUUUUAAGUCAGAUGUGAAAGACCACGGCUUAACCGUGGGGUUGCAUUUGAAACUGGAGGGCUUGAGUAUCGGAGAGGGUAGUGGAAUUCCCAGUGUAGCGGUGGAAUGCGUAGAUAUUGGGAGGAACACCAGUGGCGAAGGCGACUACCUGGACGAAAACUGACGCUGAGGUGCGAAAGCGUGGGGAGCAAAC
rnacentral:rRNA from 1 species